rnacentral:lncRNA from 1 species
UUGGUUACAAAUGGCAUCAGAGCGAGUGUUCCUCCGAUUUGCCGGUGAUGAAUUUGGCGUCUCCUACAUCAUGCUAUCCAGGUGCAUAUUAUUUUCCCCAACAUCAGGUCAGUAACCCUGGCUUGUACUAUUCACACGAGUAUGAACCACCACCCACAGUUACAUCAAAAUCAUAUGCUUCUGACAUUUAUGCAUAUCAGAUGUUUGAUACAAGUUCUGAAAGAGAGUAUGUUUUUGCUAAUG